CCAGUAGCCCUACAGCCCAGACAAUGCCCAGGGUGUGAUUCAGGGUGCAGAGCUGCAACUCAGAUACUGUGCCACGGUGGUAUCACAGGAAGGACUUGAUGGAGAAUCCUUUCCUUGCUGGGAACACAGGAAGAGACAAAACCUGAUGAGGGAGAAAGGGAACCUCCAACUAGCCAUGGACCUCAUGAUUCCAAGAAUUACAGCUAUCAUUUGUCUUCAAGAAUGGCUCUGUUUUAUAGCUCACAUGGUAACUGGGAAAUUGCUGACUUGCAGGUGAAAUGUAUAAAUAUCAAAGAAUUUCUAUCACAA